AUUGAACGCUGGCGGCAGGCCUAACACAUGCAAGUCGAGCGGUAGAGAGAAGCUUGCUUCUCUUGAGAGCGGCGGACGGGUGAGUAAUGCCUAGGAAUCUGCCUGGUAGUGGGGGAUAACGUUCGGAAACGGACGCUAAUACCGCAUACGUCCUACGGGAGAAAGCAGGGGACCUUCGGGCCUUGCGCUAUCAGAUGAGCCUAGGUCGGAUUAGCUAGUUGGUGAGGUAAUGGCUCACCAAGGCGACGAUCCGUAACUGGUCUGAGAGGAUGAUCAGUNACACUGGAACUGAGACACGGUCCAGACUCCUACGGGAGGCAGCNGUGGGGAAUAUUGGACAAUGGGCGAAAGCCUGAUCCAGCCAUGCCGCGUGUGUGAAGAAGGUCUUCGGAUUGUAAAGCACUUUAAGU
rnacentral:rRNA from 1 species